GAGGAAAGUUGGCUCUGCGGGCACGCUGAUGGCCUGAGACAGUGAUGCGUACUAUNAGCUAGCUAGUGGGGUAAGGGCUACCAUAGCGACGACGGGUACUGGUCUGAGAGGACAUCAGCCACACUGGGACUGNGAGGGGNCCAGACUCCUACGGGAGGCAGCAGCGGGGAAUUUUGCGCAAUGGGCGCAAGCCUGACGCAGCAACGCCGCGUGCAUGACGACGCCUUUCGAGGUGUAAAGUGCUGUCGACCGGGACGAAUGGGCGAUGGUGAACAGCUUUCGCGCAUGACGGUACCGGUGGAGGAAGCCCCGGCUAACUCCGUGCCAGCAGCCGCGGUAAGACGGAGGGGGCGAGCGUAGUUCGGAAUUACUGGGCGUAAAGCGCGCGUAGGCGGUGCAGCAAGUGGUGCGUGAAAGCCCUCGGCUUAACCGGGGACGGGCGUGCCAAACUGUUGGACUGGAGUGCCGGAGGGGGAGGCGGAAUCCCUGGUGGAGCGGUGAAAUGCGUAGAGAUCAGGAAGAACGUCGGUGGCGAAGGC
rnacentral:rRNA from 1 species